ensembl:lncRNA
GCAUUUUUAACAAUGCUGUAAAAACCAUUCACUGCUGUAAAGAGCAUUCGGGGUGACAAGAGCAAGGUUUCCUUUGUCAUGAGUCAAGCUGACAUAGUGACCAGCCCUCAUGCACUGCUUCCCAAGCCCUGGGGCAUGAUGGUUAAUGAGCUGAGAAAGGUCCGCUCUUAUUUUGCACUCAGCACAUUAUAAAAAAGCACAGCUAUAUGACAAUAUUUAUUGCCUUCUCAUACCGUUGCCUCUACACAGCUGCGUUUGCUGCAUCUCACACACUCUUUCUCUUCAGCCGGACACAUUCCUGUCAUUCAGAGAGAGACAAGCAAGAGAUGUGACCCCCACCUCUUUCUUACACUCACUACAUCUCUCCGUAUCCUUUUGCAGCUGCAGGCCCUCUCUUGUUAAUGAAAUGACCCAGCACUUUGUAAUGCUUCUAAGUUGAGGUAAUGACAUUUAUGUCAACAAACCGGCCAGGACAAAUACAGGUUAUGUAGAAUAGAGCAUCUUGUUAAUGAUAAGUGCAGUUACGUUUAGUUUGGCUAGCGAUUGGGAGAGGUCACUGGCAACAGAAGUCUAAUGAUACCACAGUUCAAACUUUGAGAAUGCUUUAUAAAAAUUCCAAAAUUGCAAUUAAUUUCCUGAGGGAUUCAUCCUGUUGGAUCAUUCCACAGAUAUCCCACAGGCAUUUUCUCUGAAAUCUUCACCCCAUGACAGUUCUCUUCCUUCAUUAUCAUAAAUGCUCCAAGUUCACCACAGACUGACUUCCCGACAGGCACAGAAAAUCUUCCCUUCUCCCCAAGGACCUAUUAUGACCCUACCUGCCUGAGGCCUCAGAACUCCCUCCACACCUGACCUUUCAGCCCUGACACAUGACCCCUGUGCUGAAUGAGAACACACAGGAGCAUCAGAGCCAGACCCACCCCCCACAGCCUCUGGCCAAUGACCAAGCAGGCCACCAGUUUACGGGUAAAGGGGGCAAGAGAUUGGACCCAGUCACCAGAGCUGAGCUCCUGCUUGUCUGUGUGGGGGGCCCUGCAGGCUGUCUGGAGCCCAGCGCAAGACAGGAUGCAGAGAGCACGAUGGAAUGGAGCUUUUGCUCAUGGCUGAUCUCUGCUAUGAUCUGACUUGCUGCUGAAGAACACUCUUUUCCUUCUGUGCACCAUUCUUAUUCUCUGUUCUUACUUUUCAUUUCUUUCUAGUCUCCUAUUCUCUCCCAGACAUGAGCCAACCUGAACUCAGGCCUCAUCUGAUCCCUUCAGUAAUCCUCGAAGGCACUGAACACUCACACACACAUGCACACAAACACUGUAAAUACAUACAUCCGCAAACACAGAUUGCCAACACACAGAAUUAAUUUAAUAUUUUAGAAGAGCUGACAUGUGAUGUAAAUAGAAACAUUCUGUCAAAGACUUUAAGCAAUUCACUUUGCACGUCUGAUCAGGAUCAGUUGCCAAACAUGCUUCACCAAUU